rnacentral:rRNA from 1 species
UACAUAGGGGGCAAGCGUUAUCCGGAAUUAUUGGGCGUAAAGCGCGCGUAGGUGGUUUGGUAAGCGAGAUGUGAAAGCCCCGGGCUUAACCUGGGAACGGCAUUUCGAACUGCCAGACUAGAGUGUGGUAGAGGGUAGUGGAAUUUCCUGUGUAGCGGUGAAAUGCGUAGAUAUAGGAAGGAACACCAGUGGCGAAGGCGGCUUCCUGGUCUGUAACUGACACUGAGGCGCGAAAGCGUGGGGAGCAAACAGGAUUAGAUACCCCCGUAGUCCCUGAG